rnacentral:rRNA from 1 species
CACAAGCGGUGGAGCAUGUGGUUUAAUUCGAUGCAACGCGAAGAACCUUACCUACUCUUGACAUCCAGAGAACUUAGCAGAGAUGCUUUGGUGCCUUCGGGAACUCUGAGACAGGUGCUGCAUGGCUGUCGUCAGCUCGUGUUGUGAAAUGUUGGGUUAAGUCCCGCAACGAUCGCAACCCUUAUCCUUUGUUGCCAGCGAUUCGGUCGGGAACUCAAAGGAGACUGCCAGUGAUAAACUGGAGGAAGGUGGGGAUGACGUCAAGUCAUCAUGGCCCUUACGAGUAGGGCUACACACGUGCUACAAUGGCAUAUACAAAGAGAAGCGACCUCGCGAGAGCAAGCGGACCUCAUAAAGUAUGUCGUAGUUCGGAUUGGAGUCUGCAACUCGACUCCAUGAAGUCGGAAUCGCUAGUAAUCGUAGAUCAGAAUGCUACGGUGAAUACGUUCCCGGGCCUUGUACACACCGCCCGUCACACCAUGGGAGUGGGUUGCAAAAGAAGUAGGUAGCUUAACCUUCGGGAGGGCGCUUACCACUUUGUGAUUCAUGACUGGGGUGAAGUCGUAACAAGGUAACCAAGCC